GCUUGUCUCAAAGAUUAAGCCAUGCAUGUCUUAGUGUAAAUAACUCUUAUGAAACUGCGAAUGGCUCAUUAAAUCAGUUAUCGUUUAUUUGAUGGUCCCUUACUACAUGGAUAACCGUAGUAAUUCUAGAGCUAAUACAUGCAUCAAUCCCCGACUUCCUGGAAGGGGUGUACUUAUUAGAUGGAAACCAAUGCGGGGCAACCCGGAUUCUGGUGAUUCAUAAUAAUUAUCGGAUCGAUCGUAUGAUCGAUGCAUCAUUCAAGUUUCUGCCCUAUCAGCUUUGGAUGGUAGGGUAUUGGCCUACCAUGGCAUUAACGGGUAACGGAGAAUUAGGGUUCGAUUCCGGAGAGGGAGCCUGAGAAAUGGCUACCACAUCCAAGGAAGGCAGCAGG
rnacentral:rRNA from 1 species